UAACUUUAACAUUCUCCAGUCUCCUCCAUUUUAGAACGAAAUAGCUCUUGAUGGUUCUUCUUUCCUUUCAUAGUGGAAAGUCUGGAAGUCGUCUAGGAAGAUAUCUCGUAUCUUCUUGUUUCUUGAAGUUUUAGAGAUAAUAGAAUACUAGACAUUACAGUCAAAUAUCUGCAGAGCUACAUAUGAAAUAUCACAGGGUGCAGUUAUCAGAGGGAUUCUGUAAUUACAUAUUAUCAUCAAGUUAGGAUACACUUUGUGCAAAGUGCUCAUGGACGCUAAUGUCUGGAGAGUGGCCCAAUCUGUUAUCUUCAAGGUUUUAAUUCUGAAUUUGUCUUUCAGCAUAUUUUAUAUGAUCAAUUAAAAAAAAUUACGGGUGCUAUGCUCAAUAAUAUGUUAAAUAUAUGCAAUUACACUUUACCUCCACCAAUUCUACAACUUUGGUGCAGAGACAGCAUGUUACAGAGCUGCAGAACUGAAUAGUGCAUUCCUUUUCAAGAAGUGUCAAUUAAUGGAUCAGGUAGACCAUGUCAGCCUUGUGGCGGGUAUUGUACUGAUGAUUAAAAAGGCUUGCACCUCUGGCGUGAAAUUGGUGAAUUGCAGACAUGUUUUUGAGCAGAUGAAUGCACAAAAUUUGCCAUAUAUGAAUGAUGAACUUGAAUACUUGGAAAAUCAUCUGUCAAGUU